CCUCAUUUUCACUUUCAUUCUCUCUUUCCUCUCGAGAGUUCUGCCCUCUCACGAAACCCUAGCAGAGGGUUUCACCUCCCACGCCACCAUCGCUGCCUCUUCCCAUCUUCCACCACCGUGACUGAGAGAAGGUGUCCUCCUCUAUUCUACCACACGAAGGGUUGCAGGAGCAGAGUUUACCAGCAGAGAACAUAUGAGGCCCCUGCUCGAGCUGACUUGAUUCUAUUUCUACCGCACGGCUAUUUGGGCCGCGGCCUCCUCUGUGCUUGCUUUGUCUUUGUUGUGAGGAAGACAACCUUCCCCAAAACCAGAAGCAGAUAAACGACAGGAUGGGCCGGCAUUUUCAUAUGGAUGUCAAAUGCCGUCUUCCUCCUUCACCCAAGUCGCCUCCCAUUGUUUUCAGCAAGAGAAGAUCUCUGCUCCUCGCACUUGGAAGACGACUGGUUUUCAGUCGAUUGGACGUCUGCUUCUGCUCAACGGUAGAGAUGGACGGGUCGAGUUAAAAAAUUAGGCCCAACGAAAAAAAAUUUCCUUCAUCGUUGGGUAAGAUUCACAAACUGUGUAGAGAGAGCAGAGGUUGUAUAUUUCCUUCCCUCCUUCCUGUUCUUUUUUUUUUUUGGUCUAUGUAUGUCGAGCAGAGCAGGCUCUGCCUCCUGUUCUACCGUUUGCCAGAGACGUAGAAAAAAAAUUACUCCAGUAGUGGAAUUCUUUGGAGACAGAUCCUCUACGAGGGUCCUGAUCUAAAAGUUUUUACAGAGCCAUAGGGCUCUGUCCUGGUCUCCGUCUCUCGCAGACACAGAGAACAAAAAGCGACCUAAUGCUAUCAUGCUUUAUGCUGUGAUCUAUUUACUGUAAAUAAAGCAUAGGCGAACCUUUGGCUUUCCCUUCUAUUACCGACGAUAGGCAGAGAGAAAAGAAAAAAAUAACGAAGUUACAGAAACGAAGCAGGUUUACAUUUGAUUAUGGGUUCAUCGAGAAAGAAGCUUCGGUGAACUUCCAGCUGCGACAGAGGGUUCGUCUCAAGGGAGUUCUGGUCAAGGUAUAAGUUAUUUCCUUAUUUUCUAGUAAGGCUUUCUAUUCUGUGAGGCCGACAACGCUGGCUGUCAUCAGCAGCGUUGUCUGUGUCCAGACCGGGAAACUCUCUAUCCUCUGGAAAAACACAGGCGCAAACAAUAUAUGCUAAAAAAAAUUUGGCAAAGUAUAUUAAAUCGCCUUAGUCUUCUGGAUUUACAUGCACAGAUAUUAUAUCUAGCAAACUGCAAAUGACAUGCUUCAUUCAGAUUAACUUUUGAUUUAGGCAUCGUUCCUUGCUUACGGCUAACAUGCUUCAUACAUUCAAGCUAGUUUCUAUCUGUGCAUUGAUUUCGUCUGAAGUUACUUACCUGUUUCAGAUGAUAAUUUCCCAACGAAGCUCUGAUACCACCAUUGGGUCAAGUGCAGUUGCAGCGGAGGAUGCACGUAGUCGCCUGCACAGUAACUUCUUUAACCAGCUGUGAUGGUCCCCUGUAAAGCCAAACAGAUCAAGUGCGAGGGAGGAGAAAAGAAGCAAAUGUUAGAUUUUUGGGGUUUCCUUCCAAAGGGCUGCUCACGGCUCAUUCAAUGUUCAAGAGAGCUUGCUAGGAAUUUAAAGCCCAGCCCUUUAGGUUUUCCCCAAACCCUAGCUGCGGUUACGUGGGAGAUUUCUUAGGAGAUAUUUUAGGAGCACUUUUAGAUUAAAAUCUAGUAACUGCUUUGCAGUUACUAGAUAUUCGGAUAGGGCUCAAUGGCCACUAUCCAACACUGCCAUCAUGUAUGGUUGGUCAACCCGGACUGUCCUGCUUUAGGUGGAUCAGAUUCUAUUUCUCCAUAUAAUUUGUAAUAGAAGAAUAAUCAAUUUGGGAGCUAAACAUUGCCAAGAUACUUCCAGUAGUAAGUUUUGACUAAGAGAACUUGGGCCAUGCGUAUUAUCUCUUGCAUAAGACAUACGCAUGUUGUUUUCUGCUGGUUAGUAUGCUUGUGAUUGCUCUCUCAGAUGCAUUUGGCCUACUAUAUAACUCAUCUAGGGAAUGUUGUCCCAGCAGACUGCUUGAACUGUUCAUGUUUUUCUGGGAUCUGCCUUAGAUGGUUUUGGUUGAAAGUAAGAGCUCUCUAACAUGUGUGAACGGUCCUUCUGUUGCUUCUGCUGCAUGAUGCAUUUAAUCUUGAUGGAGGCCAUGCAUGUUGUUGGCAUUUACACAUGAUCACUCGAGUCAAGAAUUUUUAUCACGUCCCAAAGCCACCCUACCCUAAUUUGCAUCCAUUGUGAUUGUGCUCAGUAUCACUUUUCAUCCAUAUCUUUGUCAAACAUUACUAAACUGCUUUGUUCUCAUCAAUUUCAGUAUAUAUCUUAGAGCUGGAUAGCAUUUCCAGGUUCUUGUUCACCUCUGAGUAAUUUUCCAUUCUUAAGAGUAUUCUUUUCCCACAUUUGUAUAUGUUAGGAAAUCAGCAUUCUAAUCACAAAUGUCUUUAGUGAAUUCAUCUAUAUGGUAUUUUUUUUUAUGCUUAUUUAGAACUGGGUGUUUUUCGUUGGGGCCUAUUUCGAACAUUUCCUAGUUCUUAGAUCACUGAAAUUUGUUUCUUAUGUGUUAUUUGGUAUCAUCCUUUUCAUAUCUGUCAGUGGGUGAAAUUUUCUCAAGUAUACUUGAGAGUUUCAUUGUAACUAAAUUUUUUUGUAAUUAUUAGAAGAUGUUCUUCUCAGCUGAUGCAACAAGUGGGACAUUGGCUUGGCGUGCUAAAGGUGUUCGGUAUGCCUGUAUACUAUGAAAAGGUACUUUACUUAAGAACGUAUAUGCAUUAACUGCGCUGGAGGUGCGUUGAUAGAUACCAAGUAUGAACAGAUACAUACAACAGAAGGUGCUUAUGCUCCAUGGUAUUUGUAUUUUAGAUUCUCCAAAUCUUUUUAAUAAGUUUGAUGCUCUUUGUUUAGCUAUUGCAGGAAGAACAAUUAAGACAUUUGAAGCAUCAAAUUAUGGCAAGCUUCAAUUGCUCACGCCCUCAUCAUCAGGUGCAGUUUCACUGCUUUUGUCUAUCAGGGUUUUCAUCCAUAGCUUGAUAUAAAAUUGAUAGAUCCACAACUGGUUUGAGUUGCAUUCACCGUUUCCAUCCCAUGCUCUUUGUGGUUGGCUGACAAAAGGAAUGGAAGUUUGAUAUUUGACUGGUGACUUAACACUGCUCGAGGAACUAUAGGAGUCCAACUUUCAAUUGAUUGCCAUUGGAAAUGUGUACUUUUUUACUUAGUCUCUGAAUGGAUUGAAGUGGUUAACAUGCAAGAAUUUUUUUUUUCAUUCUGGAGCCAAUGUUUUUUGGUGCAUAAGUUCUUGCUUGUUCACUGGUUUUGGUGCAUGGCAAGAGAUUACUGUGCAUAUAGCUGUAGACAAAUAGAGUCACUUUGUGAGUAGCUUACACACAUUGACAUAAUGCAGCAACUGAGCAUCUUAAGUUAAAUCUAAAGCAUUGAGAGGCAGUUAUGUUCUUUGAAAGUGGAAAAGAAGGAACAAAGGGACUGCUCCAUCUGGUUCAUGUACAACGUGCUAAGUAAGUUGACUAGACUACAAGUUCAAGUGAAUAUUUGGUCUUUAUUCACAUUAACAAAGCUCGAACUACAUAAUGCUUCUUCUAUUUUCUUGACAGGAAUUAUUUGUGUCAUCUAUUCAAUUGUAAUAAUUUAGCAUCUGCUCGUUGUAUCAUCACAUGUUUAAUAGUGUCAUCAACUAAUAAAAUGCUGUCACAUGCCUUCUUUUUUUUUUUGUCAUUUGACAAGUAUUAUCAACUAAUAUGAAAGGAUCACAUUGUCAUUUGGAACUGGUUUGCACUCCCGUAGCUGCUUACCUGUUCAAAAUUGUAAAUUUGCAUGAGGCUCUCAAGGCCCUGGAGAGGAGAUCAAAGAUUUAACAUCAGAACGAUGGAAACAAAUGGAAAGGGUGCUGGGUUUAUUGCUUUGGAGAACCAGCUUUCUUUGCAAAAACAUUUUCUGUAAGGACUUUCCCUGCAACAAGUUAACAAAAUUCUUCUUGUUAUUUAA